rnacentral:rRNA from 1 species
AUUGAACGCUGGCGGCAGGCCUAACACAUGCAAGUCGAACGAGUGGCGGACGGGUGAGUAAUGUCUGGGAAACUGCCCGAUGGAGGGGGAUAACUACUGGAAACGGUAGCUAAUACCGCAUACCAUCGGAUGUGCCCAGGUGGGAUUAGCUAGUGGGUGGGGUAACGGCGCUCCUAGGGGACGAUCCCUAGCCGGUCUGAGAGGAUGACCAGCCAAACUGGGACUGAGACACGGUCCAGACUCCUACGGGAGGCAGCAGUGGGGAAUAUUGCACUAUGGGCGCAAGCCUGAUGCAGCAAUGCCGCGUGUAUGAAGAAGGCCUUCGGGUUGUAAAGUACUUUCAGCGAGGAGGCGUUACUCGCAGAGAAAGCACCGGCUAACUCCGUGCCAGCAGCCGCGGUAAUUC